GACGAACGCUGGCGGCGUGCUUAACACAUGCAAGUCGAACGGAAAGGCACUGCUUUUGUGGGGUGCUCGAGUGGCGAACGGGUGCGUAACACGUGAGUAACCUGCCCUUGACUUUGGGAUAACUUCAGGAAACUGGGGCUAAUACCGGAUAGGAGCUCCUGCUGCAUGGUGGGGGUUGGAAAGUUUCGGCGGUUGGGGAUGGACUCGCGGCUUAUCAGCUUGUUGGUGGGGUAGUGGCUUACCAAGGCUUUGACGGGUAGCCGGCCUGAGAGGGUGACCGGCCACAUGGGGACUGAGGUACGGCCCAGACGCCUACGGGAGGCAGCAGUGGGGAAUAUUGCACAAUGGGCGGAAGCCUGAUGCAGCAACGCCGCGUGCGGGAUGACGGCCUUCGGGUUGUAAACCGCUGUCGCCUGUGACGAAGCGGGAGUGACGGUAAUGGGUAAAGAAGCACCGGCUAACUACGUG
rnacentral:rRNA from 1 species